GAAAAAUUAUAUGAUUAAUGAUAUAAUUUUAUGUAGAUAGAUUAAGGGAAUACGGUUAAAAAUCGAACAGCAACCUCUACUGUAUGCCGGAGUAUAUGCCAUUUGCCACUUAACGGGAAGGCGGUAUAUAUUUUGAAGGCGAGUCAGGAUACCUUCAGUUGUACUUUUGGGAUUG
rnacentral:ncRNA from 18 species